CCCCCGGUCCAGCGCGACGGUCCGGGCGUGAACCGGGUCAGGUCCGGAAGGAAGCAGCCCUAAGCGCCACGGGUCGGGUGCCGCUGGGGCGCCGGGGGCAG
rfam:Thermus scotoductus SA-01, complete genome.